rnacentral:rRNA from 1 species
ACGCGAGGAACCUUACCCGGGCUUGAACUGCAGCGGAAGGAUACAGAGAUGUUGACGCCCUUCGGGGCCGCUGUGGAGGUGCUGCAUGGUUGUCGUCAGCUCGUGCCGUGAGGUGUCGGCUUAAGUGCCAUAACGAGCGCAACCCUUUUCUUCAGUUGCCAUCAGGUUAAGCUGGGCACUCUGGAGACACUGCCACCGUAAGGUGUGAGGAAGGUGGGGAUGACGUCAAAUCAGCACGGCCCUUACGUCCGGGGCUACACACGUGUUACAAUGGGUGGUACAGAGAGUCGG